rnacentral:rRNA from 1 species
AGCAGCCGCGGUAAUUCCAGCUCCAAUAGCGUAUAUUAAAGUUGUUGCAGUUAAAAGCUCGUAGUUGAAUUUCGGGGUUAGUAGGUCGGUCGUGCCACAGGUACGUACUGGUCUCACUGAUUCCUCCUUCCUGAUGAACCGUAAUGCCAUUAAUUUGGUGUUGCGGGGAAACUGGACUGUUACUUUGAAAAAUUGAGUGUUUAAAGCAGGCUAACGCUUGAAUACAUUAGCAUGGAAUAAUGAAAUAGGACGUUCGAUCCUAUUUUGUUGGUUUCUAGGAUUGACGUAAUGAUUAAUAGGGAUAGUUGGGGGCAUUAGUAUUCAAUUGUCAGAGGUGAAAUUCUUGGAUUUAUUGAAGACUAACUACUGCGAAAGCAUUUGCCAAGGAUGUUUUCAUUAAUCAAGAACGAAAGUUAGGGAUCGAAGACGAUCAGAUACCGUCGUAGUCUU